ACUCCUACGGGAGGCAGCAGUAGGGAAUCUUCCACAAUGGGCGCAAGCCUGAUGGAGCAACACCGCGUGAGUGAAGAAGGGUUUCGGCUCGUAAAGCUCUGUUGUUAAAGAAGAACACGUAUGAGAGUAACUGUUCAUACGUUGACGGUAUUUAACCAGAAAGUCACGGCUAACUACGUGCCAGCAGCCGCGGUAAUACGUAGGUGGCAAGCGUUAUCCGGGAUUUAUUGGGCGUAAAGAGAGUGCAGGCGGUUUUUCUAAGUCUGAUGUGAAAGCCUUCGGCUUAACCGGAGAAGUGCAUCGGAAACUGGAUAACUUGAGUGCAGAAGAGGGUAGUGGAACUCCAUGUGUAGCGGUGGAAUGCGUAGAUAUAUGGAAGAACACCAGUGGCGAAGGCGGCUACCUGGUCUGCAACUGACGCUGAGACUCGAAAGCAUGGGUAGCGAACAGGAUUAGAUACCCCGUGGUAGGAUAGCC
rnacentral:rRNA from 1 species